GGGUAUAAUGUUGGAUUAACAAUUAAACUAGUGUGCAUGUCUGCGUGGAGGUAGAAGACCCACGGGUUGUGAACUUCUUUUUCUAGAUAUGAAGAAGCAACAACGGUAUAUGGGGAAGAAGCAUCGGCUAACUCUGUGCUAGCAGCCGCGGAAUUACAGAGGAUGCAAACAUUAUCC
rnacentral:ncRNA from 1 species